rnacentral:rRNA from 1 species
AGAGCGAACGCUGGCGGCAGGCCUAACACAUGCAAGUCGAACGAACUCUUCGGAGUUAGUGGCGGACGGGUGAGUAACACGUGGGAACGUGCCUUUAGGUUCGGAAUAACUCAGGGAAACUUGUGCUAAUACCGAAUGUGCCCUUCGGGGGAAAGAUUUAUCGCCUUUAGAGCGGCCCGCGUCUGAUUAGCUUGUUGGUGGGGUAAUGGCCCACCAAGGCUACGAUCAGUAGCUGGUCUGAGAGGAUGACCAGCCACAUUGGGACUGAGACACGGCCCAAACUCCUACGGGAGGCAGCAGUGGGGAAUCUUGCGCAAUGGGCGAAAGCCUGACGCAGCCAUGCCGCGUGUAUGAUGAAGGUCUUAGGAUUGUAAAAUACUUUCACCGGUGAAGAUAAUGACUGUAGCCGGAGAAGAAGCCCGGCUAACUUCGUGCCAGCAGCCGC